GUCGGGAGGUUUGGUAGUCCAAAGACACUGGCUUAUGACAGGGUGGGGAGAAGGAAGGCCUGCGUAAAGGUUGCCUCUCCAUUCCUUCGUUCCCGGGAACCCUAGGAAAAAACCAACACCUCGGACCUGUGGCCAGCCCCUUCCACCAGGCUCUCUCCGCUCUAUUUCGCCACCGUUAUGUGGGAAGCAAAUCCGGAGAUGUUUCACAAAGCAGAAGAAUUCCUCUCUAAAAGCGCAGACAGUGAGGUGGAUGAGAUGGACACAUCAGACACCCAGUGGGGCUGGUUUUACUUGGCAGAGUGUGGAAAGUGGCACAUGUUUCAGCCGGAUACCAACAUUCAGUGUUCAGUUAGCAGUGAAGAUAUCGAAAAAAGCUUCAAAACAAAUCCUUGUGGGUCCAUUUCUUUUACUACUUCCAAAUUCAGCUACAAGAUAGACUUUGCAGAAAUGAAGCAAAUGAACCUCACCACUGGAAAACAGCGCUUAAUAAAAAGAGCCCCCUUUUCUAUCAGUGCUUUCAGUUAUAUCUGUGAAAAUGAGGCUAUCCCCAUGCCACCACACUGGGAGAAUGUGAAUACUGAUGUACCCUAUCAGCUUAUUCCUUUGCACAGUCAAACACACGAAUAUAAUGAAGUUGCUAGUCUCUUUGGGAAAACAAUGGAUCGCAACAGAAUUAAAAGAAUUCAGAGAAUUCAAAACCUAGACUUGUGGGAGUUCUUUUGCAGGAAAAAGGCUCAGCUCAAGAAAAAAAGUGGUGUGCCUCAGAUUAAUGAACAAAUGCUAUUUCACGGUACCAGCAGUGAAUUUGUGGAAGCAAUUUGCAUUCAUAAUUUUGAUUGGAGAAUAAAUGGUAUACAUGGUGCUCUCUUUGGUAAAGGAACCUAUUUUGCUAGAGAUGCUGCUUACUCCAGUCGCUUCUGCAAAGAUGACAUAAAACAUGGAAACACAUUCCAAAUUCAUGGUGUAAGCUUGCAACAGCGGCAUCUAUUUAGAACAUAUAAAUCUAUGUUUCUUGCUCGAGUGCUAAUUGGAGAUUAUAUAAAUGGAGACUCCAAAUACAUGCGACCUCCUUCCAAAGACGGUAGCUAUGUGAAUUUAUAUGACAGCUGUGUGGAUGACACCUGGAAUCCAAAGAUCUUUGUGGUGUUUGAUGCCAACCAGAUCUAUCCUGAGUACUUAAUAGACUUCCAUUGAUUUGAUUUCCAAAUCUCAGUGGUCAAAGAAGUUUACUCUUUUUUGCAGGAAGAUUUGCUCUCCUGUCAUCUAGCCACUAAAUGUUAAUUAUCUGACACUUUUGAAACCCAUAUGAAAAAAAAGUGGCCUCCAUAUAAAGACAUACUGACUUUAAGGAGCUCUUGGCCUAGUGAGAAGAUGUGAAUUCAUGUGUUAUGGGAGUUACAAGGGAUCAUACAUACCUGGAGAGUAGGAUAAGCUUAACCUAAGGGUAAGGGAAUGUUCUGUGCAAACCUUGAAUGAAAAUACUAGAUGACAAAAGUAAGAAAGGACAGUCCAAGCCAUACAGAGAUGAGCAUGGGCAAAUGUGUAGAGUCGGGAAAGGGGUCUGGAUAUCUGAGAACUAGCAAGCAACUGUGGCAGCACUGUGUGGUUGUGUGGGGAAAGCAGGGAGUGGGAGAUACACAGAAGAAUUAGAGGAGUUUUAAUUAAAAUUGGAUCUGCCCUUUGACCUAGUGAUUCCACUUCUGGGAAUAUACCCGAAAAAAACCCAAAACACUAAUUUGAAAGAACAUAAACACCCCUCUGUUCAUUGCAGUAUUAUUUAUCACCAAGCUAGGGAAACAACCCACGUGUCCAUCAGUAGAUUAGUGGUUAAACAACUAUAGGACAUUUGCACAAUGGAAUACUACUCGGCAAUAAAAAAGCAAAUUUAACCCUUUGAGAUGGCAUGGAUGGACUGGGGAACAUUUUGCUAACUGAAAUAAGCCAGUCAUAGAAAGACAAAUACCAUAUGAUUUCACUCACAUGUGGAAUCUAAUGAACAAACUGAACUAAAGCAAAAUAGAGACAGACUCUUGGAGAGCAGGAUGAUAGAUGGGGGAGGGGUGGUGAGGGACUGAAGGUGUUGAGAAAAAAGAAAAAGGGACUCAUGGAUGUAAACAACAGUGGUGAUGUAGGGUUGGAAGAGAUAUAAGGAGGAUAAAUGGCAAUGGAAAAAAUACAAUAAAAAAGAAUUAGAGGAGAUAAGGCUGUAAUAGGUCAGGCCAUGUUGGGAAGGGAUUUGUAUUUAAGUUAAGGUCUUUGGAGUUUGUUUGGGGAACUGACCAAAGCUUUUAAGAAGCUGAGGCACAGUCUGCAAGACUCGAUAAGUAGAGAUGUCAUUAAUAGAGAUUAAGUAGAAGGAAGGACCCAAACACCCUAAAAUUUAUUUAUGAAAAAAAUUGUGCAUUUAUUCUCACAUGUUUAAACUUCAGUCACCUGCAAAGUACUCUUAAUUUGAUGCACUACAUACCUAUCAAGAUGUGUUUUCCACUGCUCAAAUCAGUUUUUGAACUCAUUGAUUUUGAUGCCUUUUAGUGCCUCUGCCAUUUUUUGUUUUACCUCUUCUACAUUGGCAAACUUCCACAUUGGCACCCAUCAUGAAAUGGGCAAAGACAAGGAAGAGUCUUCAAAAAAAAUUCACUAAAGCUGAGCACAGCCUUUCACAACAAGGCCAGCUGACACACUGAUACAGAUGGGUUUCUAAAACACUCACUAGCAGAAGAAGCCUGUAUGUACAAGGGACCAUCCAGGAGAUAAUUCCAGGGUUUUUUGCCCUCCUGCCUGAUAUAUGAAAAACAGAACAUUGCUGGACAGUGCAGUGCUCAGUAAUGUUUUAUUUACCUGGCACUGCUCCCAUUUGCUAGGAACAGCAGACAUACCUGUUCUCCCUUGUCCCAAUUUGCAUACAGAACAUAAUGAGAACAACCUUUGUUUUUGUUAACAUGACCCCAUCUCCUUAGCUACAAUAAUUGUUUUAGGGCUGGUCACUAGAUACAGGUUGGUUUAGUCAUAAUAUCUUAUUUUCUCUACCCUGUCCAGAGUGCUUGGUCAACACAGGGGUAUGUGACCCAGUCUUAGGCCUCCAAUUAAUCUGAAUUUUGAAUAGGCACUAAGGGAACUGGGCUUUUCUUCUCAAGUGCUGAAUCCGCAAAGUUGGAAGUGUAGAGGUGCUGUUGGUUAUGUCUCAUGUGUGGAAGAAGCUGGUCUUCAAUAGAGAAAAACUGAAACUAGCACAUGGAAAGGAGGAGAUACGAGAAACAUAAGGAAAGUGAGUUCUGGUGGCCUUUCAGUCCUUGGUCUCAGGCAUCCUGAAGCUAAUUUAAUCCCUGCUUGUCCUAUGGUUUGGUGGACAUGAACCAAUAAAUUACCCUUUUUGCCUAAGGUAGUUACUGUUGCGUUUCUGAUACUUGCAAACAAGAGUCCCGACUACUCCGACUACUCCACUACGAGGCAGGAAGAUAAUUGUGAUCUUGAUACAUUACAGUUUAAAAGAUUUUUCUGUUGAUGAUAAUGGAGUGCAGGCAAUAGGUCAGGACUAGAGAGAGAGAUUUGAUAGGCAUGUUUAGAGAAGAGGUGGUUAAAGCUGUGGAAGGGGGUAAGCUUGCCUAAAGUAAGCAUAGAAAGCGACUAAACACUGAGGAUGGAACCUUGAAGAAUGCUAACAUCUAAGAGGGUAAAGGAGGAGGAAAUAUCUGUUUCCCACCCAGGCCAUUUUUGAGCUUACCCAGCUGUUCCAAUGCUAUGGUCCUCAGUGGGGAGAAAGCAAUCUGUUCAAAUCUAUGAAGGGAGCACUAACUUUCAUUUUCUUUUUCUUAUUUUAACUACUCUGGGCCACAUCUUCUGAAAUCCGCCUCUUAGAGCUUUUGGCCAUGGGAAUAAUUCUAAUUAUUCUUUCCCAAAAUACUCUUUUGUACAUUUGAAAUCUGAUCUCAUAACCUUAGAUGUCUCCUCUUCAGAGUUAAGCUCUCACUUCUUUCAGCUUGAAUUGGCACUCAUCUGAUAAUUAUCAGAUUUUCUGAAAUUCUUCUAAAUGGCUGUGUUGCAAAGGGUGCAGGAUGGUACUUGGAAUGGGACAUGUUAUUUCAGAUGCAAUGUUCCCAGUUUAGAGUAGAGCAGAACAAAUACCUCUCUGUUCUGAACACCAUCCUGGUUGCACUCCGGAAAUUUGGCACUUGUGAAUAACCAAAUCAUCCUAGGUCUUUUUUUCCCUAGAAAUUUAUGGGAAACCAGACAAAGUCUAUAAUAAUGAUUAAUGUUGAACUUAAAGGCCUUUACAUUUGUCUCUGUUAAAUUAUUUUUAUA